GUACACAUUGGUUGUUUCUGGUGAGUGGGAUUUUAGUUUUUUGUUUUGUAUUUGCCUUCAUUUUCUGAAGCAAAAAUAAUCGCUUUUUUAUAGGAAGUAAUUUGAAGUUAUUUAAAUAUAUCACAGCAACAAAUGAAGUUGCAUAUAAUUUUAAAGUGCUUUCCACCUUUCAUCUUUUUAAUAACUAACGUCUAAUCCAUUUAUCGAGGACCAACAAAAAUUCGGUGAGAUUACAGCCUUCCCUGAGCUUUCCAGUCAUCGUGACUGCUGGGAAAGAAGAGAACAGCCACCGCCGGCCUCCGCAGGAAUGCACUACACUCAGCCCAGGAAUUCCCCUACGAACCGCCGGGCGACAGACAGGCAUUUACUUCCGGGAGGAGUCAGCCCUCCGAACCCGGAAUGAGUUGAAGAGACAGAGAUGAAGUGGACGCAGCAUGUGAAGACAAUUCUUUCAAGAAGUUUGGCUGUAAAGGAGAAAAAAAAGGUGCUAUAGACCGUAUAAGCACAGAGCAGACAGGCCACCUUUGCUGCCACGUGGAGGCUUGUCUAAAAUGGAGGCUAAAGAAGCCAACCUGGAAGACAGAACCCAAGUCCUGAUGACAGCACUUGAUCCCAGGAAUCCAGACACGCCUAAAGACCAGCUUUACCACUGGACUUUCCGGUUAAAGGAGCCAGUAAACUCUCUUUUAUGCUAAUCUUGGGUUUUAUCUGGGUUUUUGUCGUUUACUAUUCAGAACAUCCUAAUACAUCAUUAAAUCAACAUUAUUUGUUUCUUCUAUGCGUUGUUUAAAUCUGUUACUCUACGAUGUACUCGAUAAUGUAAUCUACAGUUCUCACUAAAUUAAUCCGUAAAUUGAGUGCAAUCCAAAC
rnacentral:lncRNA from 1 species